ACGGGAGGCAGCAGUGGGGAAUAUUGCACAAUGGGGGAAACCCUGAUGCAGCGACGCCGCGUGAGUGAAGAAGUUAUUCGUAAUGUAAAGCUCUAUCAGCCGGGCAGAAAAUGACGGUACCUGACUAAGGAGCCCCGGCUAACUACGUGCCAGCAGCCGCGGUAAUACGUAGGGGGCAAGAGUUAUCCGGAUUUACUGGGUGUAAAGGGAGCGUAGACGGCUUAGCAAGUCUGAUGUGAAAGGCAGGGGCUCAACUCCUGGACUGCAUUGGAAACUGUUAAGCUGGAGUGCCGGAGAGGUAAGCGGAAUUCCUAGUGUAGCGGUGAAAUGCGUAGAUAUUAGGAGGAACACCAGUGGCGAAGGCGGCUUACUGGACGGUAACUGACGUUGAGGCUCGAAAGCGUGGGGAGCAAACAGGAUUAGAUACCCUGGUA
rnacentral:rRNA from 1 species